UACGGGGGGAGCAAGCGUUGUUCGGAUUUACUGGGCGUAAAGGGCGCGUAGGCGGUCAGCACAAGUCAGUUGUGAAAUCUCCGGGCUUAACUCGGAAAGGUCAACUGAUACUGUGCGACUAGAGUGCAGAAGGGGCAACUGGAAUUCUCGGUGUAGCGGUGAAAUGCGUAGAUAUCGAGAGGAACACCUGCGGCGAAGGCGGGUUGCUGGGCUGACACUGACGCUGAGGCGCGAAAGCCAGGGGAGCGAACAGG
rnacentral:rRNA from 1 species